AUUGAACGCUGGCGGCAUGCUUUACACAUGCAAGUCGAACGGCAGCGCGGGCUUCGGCCUGGCGGCGAGUGGCGAACGGGUGAGUAAUGCAUCGGAACGUGCCCACUAGUGGGGGAUAGCCCGGCGAAAGCCGGAUUAAUACCGCAUACGACCUGAGGUUGAAAGCGGGGGACCGAAAGACCUCGCGCUAUUGUAGCGGCCGAUGUCGGAUUAGCUAGUUGGUGGGGUAAAGGCUUACCAAGGCGACGAUCCGUAGCUGGUCUGAGAGGACGACCAGCCACACUGGGACUGAGACACGGCCCAGACUCCUCCGGGGGGCAGCAGUGGGGAAUUUUGGACAAUGGGGGCAGUCCUGAUCCAGCCAUGCCGCGUGCGGGAAGAAGGCUUUCGGGUUUUAAACCGCUUUUGUUCGGGAAGAAGUCCUCUGGGCUAAUACCCCGGGGGGAUGACGGUACCGUAAGAAUAAGCACCGGCUAACUACGUG
rnacentral:rRNA from 1 species